rnacentral:misc_RNA from 1 species
UCCUGGUUGUAGUAGUUACUGUUCGGAGUGAUGGCUCAACAGCUGCGUCCCCGUUUAGUCUUCUGUUAGACACAGACGACGAAAUGGCUUCUGCGUUUCUGACACUUCUCGCGGGCGCGAUAGUGUUACUGUGCUUCUACCUCUACAGAACGUAUACCUAUUGGCAGAGAAAUGGUAUUCCAGUCGGGAAAGGAUACGUGCCUAUCGCCGGUCACAUACUGUCCGUCAUUUUCAUGAGACGCAGCAUCAAAGAUGUGAUCCAGAAGAUAUACGACGAUCACAAGCAACACAGUAUGGUGGGAUUCUACAAGACAACGAAACCAGUGCUGAUAGUACGCGAACCAGCUUUGGUGAAAGUCGUCAUGCAGAGUAAGUUCUCGAACUUCCACCAGAACGGAAUGAAAAUCGAACCCGACAUGGACCCUCUGUUAGCCAAGAAUCCGUUCUUCAUUUACGGAGAAGAAUGGUCGGCCGGAAGGAAACGCCUGACUUACGCGUUCUCCAACGUGAGGCUGAAAACCCUUUUCACAGCUGUCAGCGGGGUGUGUAAAAAGUUCGAGGAUUUCCUAAACAGACGUCUGAAAUCGAGCAACAAAUACGAAGUCGAACUGAAGUAUCUGUUCUCGAAAUUCACCGGUGAAGUUGUGGCGAACGCUGGCUUAGGCAUCGAGGGACUUUGCUUCGAGGAUAAAGUGCAUCCUAACGCGUUCGAUGAAAUUUCCCGAUCGAUCUUCAAGCCGAAUGCGUUGCAAGGUUUCUUAACGAUGAUCAUGCUAUUCUUGCCCCACCUGAAUCGUCUGUUCAAGAUGAGUUUCAUACCGAAGGAGAUGGACAGAUUCUUCAGGAGGAUCGUGGCUGAAAAUCUGGAGCUGAGACGAACGGAAUCGGUGCCGAGGAACGAUUUCCUUCAAUUGAUGAUCGAGCUAGAAAAGUCGGGGGAGAAAUUGGACGUAGAUUCUAUCACUUCUCACGCGCUUUCUUUCUACGUCGACGGCAUCGAAUCGUCCAGCAUUACGCUUAGUUUCAUCGGCUAUCAUUUGGCUCUUCAUACGGACAUUCAAGAGAAGUUGCGAGAUGAAGUGAACGCUAAAAUUGCCAAAUACGACGGUGUGUUAACGUUCGAUGCGUUGAAAGAGAUGACCUAUAUGGAACAAGUGAUCAGCGAGUCGCAAAGAGAUUUCCCUGUUCUUACCUUCUUGAACAAGAUAUGCACGGAGGAAUUCGAGCUGCAAGGUUCCGAUGGAUUGACGUUCAGAGCGAAACCUGGCAACGAGAUACUUAUACCUGUUUACGCUUUACAACACGACCCAAAUUAUUGGACGAACCCGGACGACUUCGAUCCGGAACGAUUCAACGAAGAGAGGAAACAUUCUAUAGAAAAAAUGACCUUCCUUCCGUUCGGCGAAGGUCCGAGAAUUUGCGUAGGAAUGAGAAUGGCUAUGCUACAGGUGAAAGCUGGCCUAGCUACCUUGCUGAGAAGCUACAAAAUAGAAUUAUCGCCGAAGACGAAAAGUCCGAUAAAAUUAUCACCCUCUUACUUUCUUACGUCGCCUGUCGGCGGAAUCUGGGUUUAUCUUUCGAAACUUUAAAAGUUUCUUUUACCUCGGGGCCACGCCGUCUUAUCCCUCUUCACGACCGAUCGGUUCCUCAGAGCGAGAAACAAGAAAGUGGAAGGAACACGUGCGCGCGGAAAGCGAAAAUGUGCGGCGUGACACGACAGAGAGAGCAGACGCAAGACGACGAAGGAGAAAAGAGAGCAGCGACAGUGUAUAGGGGAUGAGAAAAAGGGGCCUUCGCGUCGUAGUGCAUCUUUCUCUGAUUUCCCGAGGGAGAAGUCGCCUAGCAAGCUUUCUCCGACGUAUCGAAGCUGGAACGAGACGAAGGACAGAGAGAAAGAAGGACGGACGGAACGGAUCGAGGACCCUGGGCGAGGGAUCAACAGGUACAGGACUGCCGGUAUCCCUCGACUGCGUCAAGAAACCGCACCGCUGUCCCUUAACAUGUAAAAAUAUCCCCGACGUAAUAUUGGAGGGAUAAAAUUGCACGACUUCAUUGACAGUCGCGUUAUUAUCGGCGAUAUGGGAGGUGUAUAUACGUGAUAUAUGGGUGUAUGUUUAUGUAUGAAAAACAGAAUGGUCGGUGAGAAAUGUUAGUUAAACAGAUCACAGAAAUACACACGGAGAAAAAACAAGCGGAAACGUGUGGAACGGAGCGCAGAAGUUGGGCUUGAUUUAAUUAAAGCGGACAACUGGCAACAGUGAUGCAGUAAAUUGAAAAUUACGGAGCGAACAAAUCCUCUUAAGUGGAAUAUUACUAGCGGAAUUGCACAGUAGGACGCGACAAAUUCGAUUGUUUUUGACUAAAGCUACGGGCAAUAAAUUAAUCCCCUUCGAUGGACGUUCAAUACUUGCAACCAGGCAUUGACGUCUAAAUCCUAUCAUGCGCGUCCUCUUCUCCAACCUCGAUUCCCACCCUCCUCCACCCCCGUCUACCUUCAAUUUGCUCUCGUUCAGUAUUAACCGUUCAGUGGCGGAUCCGAUAGAUUAACCAAUUCGAAUUGUACGACCGAAAAAAAAAAAA